UACAGAGGUCUCAAGCGUUGUUCGGAUUUAUUGGGCGUAAAGGGCGCGUAGGUGGCGCCGUAAGUCGGGUGUGAAAUUUCGGAGCUUAACUCCGAAACUGCAUUCGAUACUGCGGUGCUUGAGGACUGGAGAGGAGACUGGAAUUCAUGGUGUAGCAGUGAAAUGCGUAGAGAUCAUGAGGAAGACCAGUGGCGAAGGCGGGUCUCUGGACAGUUCCUGACACUGAGGCACGAAGGCCAGGGGAGCAAACGGG
rnacentral:rRNA from 1 species